UAAUACGUAGGAGGCGAGCGUUAUCCGGAUUUAUUGGGCAUAAAGAGGGCGUAGGCGGCUUUUCAAGUCAGAUGUAAAAUCUCCCGGCUCAACUGGGAGGGACCAUUUGAUACUGUUAGGCUAGAGGGCAGCAGGGGGAGGUGGAAUUCCCGGUGUAGUGGUGAAAUGCGUAGAUAUCGGGAGGAACACCAGUGGCGAAGGCAGCCUCCUAGGCUGUUUCUGACGCUGAGGCCCGAAAGCGUGGGGAGCAAACAGGAUUAGAUACCCUGGUAGUCCACGCCGUAAACGAUGGACACUAGGUAUGGGGAGUAUCGACCCUCUCUGUGCCGGAGCUAAUGCGUUAAGUGUCCCGCCUGGGGAUUACGGCCGCAAGGCUA
rnacentral:rRNA from 1 species